CACCACUAUCAUACUUUGAAAUUGAACUACCUGUGUUAUUGGGGCUCUCAGCUUUAACUCUGGCAUUAAAGCAAAUCCCCAUUGAAUCAAAUACAUGAAAACAAGCCACCAUCUUCAACACUUCUUCUGCAGUUAGUAAAAUCACAUACAUAAAUGACACUUUGAUCCAGAAUUAAAACAAAGAAAAGGAGACCUAUGCUUUAUAAACAAAGCUUCCCGAAACCAUCACUUUUUAUCACAGAAUCUUCUUUUCUUAUCGAAAAAUUUCAAAACAA